GACGAACGCUGGCGGCGUGCUUAACACAUGCAAGUCGAACGGUGAAGGGGCCUGCUUUUGUGGGUCCUGGAUGAGUGGCGAACGGGUGAGUAACACGUGAGUAACCUGCCCCCUUCUUCUGGAUAACCGCAUGAAAGUGUGGCUAAUACGGGAUAUUCUGUGCCUGCUGCAUGGUGGGUGUGGGAAAGAUUGCGCCCUUUUUGGGUGUUUUUGGUGGGGGAUGGGCUCGCGGUCUAUCAGCUUGUUGGUGGGGUGAUGGCCUACCAAGGCGGUGACGGGUAGCCGGCCUGAGAGGGUGGACGGUCACACUGGGACUGAGACACGGCCCAGACUCCUACGGGAGGCAGCAGUGGGGAAUAUUGCACAAUGGGCGCAAGCCUGAUGCAGCGACGCCGCGUGAGGGAUGGAGGCCUUCGGGUUGUGAGCCUCUUUCGCCAGUGAAGCAGGCCUGCUCCUUGGUGGGUGGGUUGACGGUAGCUGGAUAAGAAGCGCCGGCUAACUACGUGCCAGCAGCCGCGGUAAUACGUAGGGCGCGAGCGUUGUCCGGAAUUAUUGGGCGUAAAGAGCUCGUAGGCGGCUGGUCGCGUCUGUCGUGAAAUCCUCUGGCUUAACUGGGGCUUGCGGUGGGUACGGGCCGGCUUGAGUGCGGUAGGGGAGGCUGGAACUCCUGGUGUAGCGGUGGAAUGCGCAGAUAUCAGGAAGAACACCGGUGGCGAAGGCGGGUCUCUGGGCCGUUACUGACGCUGAGGAGCGAAAGCGUGGGGAGCGAACAGGAUUAGAUACCCUGGUAGUCCACGCCGUAAACGUUGGGCACUAGGUGUGGGGGGCCUUUUCCGGGUUUUCCGCGCCGUAGCUAACGCAUUAAGUGCCCCGCCUGGGGAGUACGGCCGCAAGGCUAAAACUCAAAGGAAUUGACGGGGGCCCGCACAAGCGGCGGAGCAUGCGGAUUAAUUCGAUGCAACGCGAAGAACCUUACCAAGGCUUGACAUGUGCCGGUCGGCUCCGGAGACGGGGUUUCCUCCUUGUGGGGCCGGUUCACAGGUGGUGCAUGGUUGUCGUCAGCUCGUGUCGUGAGAUGUUGGGUUAAGUCCCGCAACGAGCGCAACCCUUGUCUCGUGUUGCCAGCACGUUGUGGUGGGGACUCGCGGGAGACUGCCGGGGUCAACUCGGAGGAAGGUGGGGAUGACGUCAAAUCAUCAUGCCCCUUAUGUCUUGGGCUUCACGCAUGCUACAAUGGCCGGUACAGAGGGCUGCGAUACUGUGAGGUGGAGCGAAUCCCUUAAAGCCGGUCUCAGUUCGGAUCGGUGUCUGCAACUCGACACCGUGAAGUUGGAGUCGCUAGUAAUCGCAGAUCAGCAACGCUGCGGUGAAUACGUUCUCGGGCCU
rnacentral:rRNA from 1 species